rnacentral:rRNA from 1 species
AGAGUUUGAUCAUGGCUCAGAUUGAACGCUGGCGGCAGGCUUAACACAUGCAAGUCGAACGGUAACAUGAGUGCUUGCACUUGAUGACGAGUGGCGGACGGGUGAGUAAAGUAUGGGGAUCUGCCAAAUGGAGGGGGACAACAGUUGGAAACGACUGCUAAUACCGCAUAAAGUUGAGAGACCAAAGUACGGUUCCGAAAGGACGUGCGCCAUUUGAUGAACCCAUAUGGGAUUAGCUAGUUGGUGGGGUAAAGGCUCACCAAGGCGACGAUCUCUAGCUGGUCUGAGAGGAUGACCAGCCACACUGGAACUGAGACACGGUCCAGACUCCUACGGGAGGCAGCAGUGGGGAAUAUUGCACAAUGGGGGGAACCCUGAUGCAGCCAUGCCGCGUGUAUGAAGAAGGCCUUCGGGUUGUAAAGUACUUUCGGUAGUGAGGAAGUUGUGUGUAUGAAAAGUGCAUGCAAUUGACGUUAGCUACAGAAGAAGCACCGGCUAACUCCGUGCCAGCAGCCGCGGUAAUACGGAGGGUGCGAGCGUUAAUCGGAAUGACUGGGCGUAAAGGGCAUGUAGGCGGAUAAUUAAGUUAGGUGUGAAAGCCCCGGGCUCAACCUGGGAAUUGCACUUAAAACUGGUUAUCUGGAGUAUUGUAGAGGAAGGUAGAAUUCCACGUGUAGCGGUGAAAUGCGUAGAGAUGUGGAGGAAUACCGGUGGCGAAGGCGGCCUUCUGGACAGAUACUGACGCUGAGAUGCGAAAGCGUGGGGAGCAAACAGGAUUAGAUACCCUGGUAGUCCACGCCCUAAACGAUGACAUUAGCUGUUGGGGCACUAGAUGUCUUAGUAGCGAAGCUAACGCGAGAAAUUGUCCGCCUGGGGAGUACGGUCGCAAGGUUGAAACUCAAAUGAAUUGACGG